GCAGCUAAACUUCCUUUUUUGUUCUUUAUUGUAAUCUCAAUUUCAAAUUAGCUAGAGUUCUUUGCUAUUUUCUUUGUUCCUAUGCAGUUUUGUAACAUUUUUUUUCUUUAUUAUUAUUAUUUUCCUAAAAUACUCUUCUUGGCUUUCCCAUUGAGUUGAUUAUCAGUUUUGUUGUUGUUAUGGUUGAAGACAACUCUUCAAGAUAAAGAGAAGCAGAGAGCUUGAGAGGUGGAUGGAGUACAGUAAAAUAUGACCAUAUUGGCUUACAUCAAAUCAAUGAAAGAGUGAAUAAGAGAACCAAUACGGCUGAUUUGUCAGGGUUAGUCGGGACUUGUGGGUGGCGGUCUAACUGCUGUGACACUCCAAAGAUUACAUUAGCGGAAGAUGAUGGCUUGAGAAAAUCCCUGUUGAAUCAUCAUGAUACAAAGGCUUUACAAAAGCUGCCAUUCUGUGAUUUAGGAGUAAGUUUGGCAGUAGGAUUCAAAAUAUGAGGGUAACAUUUACUGCCAAGGUGCAACUGUCACUUUUUUGUUCAUUCCUUUUGUCCUUUACAAAUCAAACCAUAUUGUCAUCAUCAUCAUAGCCUUGACUGAGCUAUUUCAGAUCAGCUACUAAUCAAAUCAUAAUAUUAAGAUGUUCUAGGAUUAAUUGAAUUUUUUUCAUGGACAAUAUCUCACCCCAGUCAGCACUAACAAACAAAUGAAGGGGAAAAGGUGUAGUGAUUACACCUUGGCAAUAAAUGUUCCUACCCCUAUUUUCUGCCUCCCGUCAACUAGAGCCUUCGCUUUUCCAUCUCUGUCAACAAAUCAUUAUGGAUUCCUCCUUAACUCGUAAUGUUUGUAAGUUAAUAUAAGAUUUCUAACCUAAAUUCUUAGACAUGGUAACAAUAGGAAGCAGAAGAUCAUAAUGUAUUCUUGCUGACAGCUUGAUUUUAUUUAUUUAUUUCUUUUGGCCCCAAAUAUGCAAAUAAAGCCCCAGUGUUUUCGUCCUUAGCUAUUUCGCAAAUUCUCCUUGGCUGAAAUGAUCUUACAUGUUGAUUGAUAUCUAGUUGCUUGCUGAUGGUCAGAUCAUGUAUGAUACCUCAUGAUUUUAUGUUCCUGCAUUUGCAUGCGAAUGUGCAUAUGUUUUUUGUGAAUGUAUGUUAAUUUGUGGCUAUUUGAACACACAUGGCCAUUUAGCUGUCAUAAAUCAUCAUCGCACCUCUCCUGAAGUUCUCUACUAGAAUUU